AGAGUUUGAUCAUGGCUCAGAUUGAACGCUGGCGGCAGGCCUAACACAUGCAAGUCGAGCGGUAGCACAGAGAGCUUGCUCUCGGGUGACGAGCGGCGGACGGGUGAGUAAUGUCUGGGAAACUGCCUGAUGGAGGGGGAUAACUACUGGAAACGGUAGCUAAUACCGCAUAACGUCGCAAGACCAAAGUGGGGGACCUUCGGGCCUCAUGCCAUCAGAUGUGCCCAGAUGGGAUUAGCUAGUAGGUGGGGUAACGGCUCACCUAGGCGACGAUCCCUAGCUGGUCUGAGAGGAUGACCAGCCACACUGGAACUGAGACACGGUCCAGACUCCUACGGGAGGCAGCAGUGGGGAAUAUUGCACAAUGGGCGCAAGCCUGAUGCAGCCAUGCCGCGUGUGUGAAGAAGGCCUUCGGGUUGUAAAGCACUUUCAGCGGGGAGGAAGGCGAUAAGGUUAAUAACCUUGUCGAUUGACGUUACCCGCAGAAGAAGCACCGGCUAACUCCGUGCCAGCAGCCGCGGUAAUACGGAGGGUGCAAGCGUUAAUCGGAAUUACUGGGCGUAAAGCGCACGCAGGCGGUCUGUCAAGUCGGAUGUGAAAUCCCCGGGCUCAACCUGGGAACUGCAUUCGAAACUGGCAGGCUAGAGUCUUGUAGAGGGGGGUAGAAUUCCAGGUGUAGCGGUGAAAUGCGUAGAGAUCUGGAGGAAUACCGGUGGCGAAGGCGGCCCCCUGGACAAAGACUGACGCUCAGGUGCGAAAGCGUGGGGAGCAAACAGGAUUAGAUACCCUGGUAGUCCACGCCGUAAACGAUGUCGAUUUGGAGGUUGUGCCCUUGAGGCGUGGCUUCCGGAGCUAACGCGUUAAAUCGACCGCCUGGGGAGUACGGCCGCAAGGUUAAAACUCAAAUGAAUUGACGGGGGCCCGCACAAGCGGUGGAGCAUGUGGUUUAAUUCGAUGCAACGCGAAGAACCUUACCUGGUCUUGACAUCCACAGAACUUAGCAGAGAUGCUUUGGUGCCUUCGGGAACUGUGAGACAGGUGCUGCAUGGCUGUCGUCAGCUCGUGUUGUGAAAUGUUGGGUUAAGUCCCGCAACGAGCGCAACCCUUAUCCUUUGUUGCCAGCGGUCCGGCCGGGAACUCAAAGGAGACUGCCAGUGAUAAACUGGAGGAAGGUGGGGAUGACGUCAAGUCAUCAUGGCCCUUACGACCAGGGCUACACACGUGCUACAAUGGCAUAUACAAAGAGAAGCGACCUCGCGAGAGCAAGCGGACCUCAUAAAGUAUGUCGUAGUCCGGAUUGGAGUCUGCAACUCGACUCCAUGAAGUCGGAAUCGCUAGUAAUCGUAGAUCAGAAUGCUACGGUGAAUACGUUCCCGGGCCUUGUACACACCGCCCGUCACACCAUGGGAGUGGGUUGCAAAAGAAGUAGGUAGCUUAACCUUCGGGAGGGCGCUUACCACUUUGUGAUUCAUGACUGGGGUGAAGUCGUAACAAGGUAACCGUAGGGGAACCUGCGGUUGGAUCACCU
rnacentral:rRNA from 2 species